rnacentral:piRNA from 1 species
UGAGGUAUCAGUGACUCCCAUUUAUAGGUGU